AUGAUAACUAUAAUAUAUGAAUCAGUUCAGGCUGCUUGGUCAUAACUGGUAUUUUAUUUGACUUACUUCGUGACUUCCUCAGAUGAAACCACCUCUCCUCCAUCGACAGUGAUGAAGCUGACCAAAGUGUUCACGGUGGCUCUCAGCGCUCUGGACUCAGAGGAUUCACCGCUCGACACCUCGAUGAUGUUGACGGUCCAGCCCAGAGCCGCUCCCAAAGACCUGACAGGACGAAGACAAAGAUAUUAUAACGAUAGGAAUCUGAAAACAGUCUUAAUUAUGUGAUGAACUGCUCUCACUUCUCCAGCUCUGGGACUUUCUUCUCCACGAUGUUGGCGGGCUGGUUGAUGGAGAUGAUCACCACGUCAACGCUGCUCGCACUUCCCUUCACCUCCACCUGUGGGGCAGAAGAGUGUUUCUGAGGCUUUCUCCACCUCUGUGAAUUACUUCCUCCAGCGCUCCUCACUCACCUCCACCUCUGUUGUAGCCUGAAGUCCUCUGGGGUCUUCGGCCUUCACCUCCACUGCAGCCGUCUGUCCAGCCAGUGCCACUGCUGACACCACGUAGACCAGACCCGAGGACGGGUCCACGUCAAAGUAGGGACUGCCUGCAGUCAGACUGUAGACCAGCUGACCCUCAUCACCCACAUCAGGGUCUGAGGCCUGGGGGAAAAUUCUGGAGAACUUCUACCACUGUACCACAGAGAGCAUCCUUGCCAACAGCAUGACAGAAUGUGCGGAGAGUGCUGUCUGCUGAUCUAAAAGGACUGCAGAUUUUGGUGUAAACUCCCCAACACAUCACUGGUUCUCCACCUCAAGCAUAUUUAUUCUACUGUCUAUAGUGUACUUACACCAAGAAGUUGUAAAUUGCUUGGAAUAAAGUUGCUUGUUGUUGACUUCGAUGCUCACACACAACUCAUGUCAAUACAACGCAUAACUGUUUAUUCUGACUGAGGCUAAAAUAUAGAUUAACUGCCGCCUCUCACACUUUUAUAAGAAAUAUUUCAGUCACUAAAUAGCCAAUGGUAUUAUAUAAACAGCUGUUUCUCAGAUGUGCAAGAACUCUGUGUAAUGUACAAAGCCUUAGUUACAUGGAACUCUCUGCCUGAGCAUCUAAUUCAGGAAACCAGUAAAGAUCACUUCAAAUUAUCUCCUGGUUAAGAAGCUCUCAUCAACUAAUGAUAUUCAGCUAGUAACUCAAUUAUUUCAUAUAGUAUAAUAUAUAACAUAUGCUAGAUUGCUUUAUAAUAGGCCUUUGUUACAUCUCCGUAUAGGUCCUUUGUUUUCAGCUUUUACUAACGACAGCUAGGCCAAGUGUUUUAUAAGUUGUUGUGGUGAUUUUUUCUUUUUGUGAUAUGCACCGGCAUGUAUAAAAUAUUGAUUGUAGUAGACAUCGGGAAGAACAGCUUCAGCCAGUGGGACUCCAAAUGAAAUGACUGAGUUACUGUAAUCCUACACUGCCUACCAUGUUCAUACUGUAUCUACUGUAUUCAUACCCAUUUGUGUUUAUUCCACAUUCCGAAUGUAACCAAAAUCAAUGUGCUGCUAAAUGAGAUCUGAUUCCAGGGUAUAUAAUGUGAUAUGUUUAACCUAUUUGUGAAUUUCCAAAGGAUGCAAAAUG